CUACGGGACGCUGCAGUGAGGAAUAUUGCACAAUGGAGGAAACUCUGAUGCAGCAACGCCGCGUGGAGGAUGACGCAUUUCGGUGUGUAAACUCCUUUUAUGAGUCAAGAAAAUGACGGUAGCUCAUGAAUAAGCACCGGCUAACUCCGUGCCAGCAGCCGCGGUCAUACGGAGGGUGCAAGCGUUACUCGGAAUCACUGGGCGUAAAGGACGCGUAGGCGGGAUAUCAAGUCAGGUGUGAAAUCCUACAGCUUAACUGUAGAACUGCACUUGAAACUGGUAACCUAGAGUAUGGGAGGGGGAGAUGGAAUUAGUGGUGUAGGGGUAAAAUCCGUAGAUAUCACUAGGAAUACCUAAAGCGAAGGCGACCUCCUGGAACAUAACUGACGCUAAGGCGUGAAAGCGUGGGGAGCAAACAGGAUUAGAUACCCCUGUAGUC
rnacentral:rRNA from 1 species